rnacentral:rRNA from 1 species
AUGGCUCAUUAAAUCAGUUAUCGUUUAUUUGAUAGUACCUUACUACUUGGAUAACCGUGGUAAUUCUAGAGCUAAUACAUGCUGAAAACCCUGACUUCGGAAAGGGUGUAUUUAUUAGAUAAAAAACCAAUGCCCUUUGGGCUCUUUGGUGAUUCAUGAUAACUUAACGGAUCGCAUGGCCUUGCGCCGGCGACGGUUCAUUCAAAUUUCUGCCCUAUCAACUUUCGAUGGUAAGGUAUUGGCUUACCAUGGUUUCAACGGGUAACGGGGAAUUAGGGUUCGAUUCCGGAGAGGGAGCCUGAGAAACGGCUACCACAUCCAAGGAAGGCAGCAGGCGCGCAAAUUACCCAAUCCCGACACGGGGAGGUAGUGACAAUAAAUACUGAUACAGGGCUCUUUUGGGUCUUGUAAUCGGAAUGAGUACAAUUUAAACCUCUUAACGAGGAACAAUUGGAGGGCAAGUCUGGUGCCAGCAGCCGCGGUAAUUCCAGCUCCAAUAGCGUAUAUUAAAGUUGUUGCAGUUAAAAAGCUCGUAGUUGAAUCUUGGGCCUGGCUGGCCGGUCCGCCUCACCGCGUGUACUGGUCUGGCCGGGCCUUUCCUUCUGGAGAACCUCAUGCCCUUCAGUGGGUGUGUUGGGGAACCAGGACUUUUACUUUGAAAAAAUUAGAGUGUUCAAAGCAGGCCUUUGCUCGAAUACGUUAGCAUGGAAUAAUAGAAUAGGACGUGCGGUCCUAUUUUGUUGGUUUCUAGGACCGCCGUAAUGAUUAAUAGGGAUAGUCGGGGGCAUCAGUAUUCAAUUGUCAGAGGUGAAAUUCUUGGAUUUAUUGAAGACUAACUACUGCGAAAGCAUUUGCCAAGGAUGUUUUCAUUAAUCAGUGAACGAAAGUUAGGGGAUCGAAGACGAUCAGAUACCGUCGUAGUCUUAACCGUAAACUAUGCCGACUAGGGAUCGGGCGAUGUUUUUAUCUUGACUCGCUCGGCACCUUACGAGAAAU